UAUGUGGGACGGUAAACC
rnacentral:miRNA from 1 species